rnacentral:misc_RNA from 1 species
AUUUACUCGAAAAUUUGAGCUUCCCCAAUCACUGAUGACCGUAAUCAAGACCAAUAGCCACCACGCGAUCAUCAUAAACUAGGAAAAAACUCGCCUAGUUGGAAAGGUUUUCUUUCCUCUGCAUCAGCGACUACAGUAUGAAGACCACAGAAUGUGAGCCGUGAACCUCCAACAUCUACACCAAUAACUCACCCGAAUCCCAACAAACCCUAGUUUCCGAUCUCCCCCAAAUUCUCACCUUAAUUUUGAUUUUUGUUUUUUAUUUUUGUCAAUGCUCCUCCAUUAUUAUCUCCUAGUCUUUUCUUGAUUGACUUCUGUAGCCUCCAUUGUCGUUUUCGGUUAUCAAUUUCUUACAUUUCUUACUCUUUCAGUGGAUCAGGAUUCGAUUUUGCUCUUUUGA